rnacentral:rRNA from 1 species
UACGGGAAGGGCAAGCGUUGUUCGGAAUUACUGGGCGUAAAGGGCUCGUAGGUGGCCAACUAAGUCAGACGUGAAAUCCCUCAGCUUAACUGGGGAACUGCGUCUGAUACUGGAUGGCUUGAGUUUGGGAGAGGGAUGCGGAAUUCCAGGUGUAGCGGUGAAAUGCGCAGAUAUCAGGAGGAACACCGGUGGCGAAGGCGGGUCUCUGGGCCGAUACUGACGCUGAGGAGCGAAAGCGUGGGGAGCGAACAGG